rnacentral:rRNA from 1 species
AGUGGCGCACGGGUGCGUAACGCGUGGGAAUCUGCCCUUGGGUUCGGAAUAACAGUUAGAAAUGACUGCUAAUACCGGAUGAUGUCUUCGGACCAAAGAUUUAUCGCCCAAGGAUGAGCCCGCGUAGGAUUAGGUAGUUGGUGGGGUAAAGGCCUACCAAGCCGACGAUCCUUAGCUGGUCUGAGAGGAUGAUCAGCCACACUGGGACUGAGACACGGCCCAGACUCCUACGGGAGGCAGCAGUGGGGAAUAUUGGACAAUGGGGGCAACCCUGAUCCAGCAAUGCCGCGUGAGUGAUGAAGGCCUUAGGGUCGUAAAGCUCUUUUACCAGGGAUGAUAAUGACAGUACCUGGAGAAUAAGCUCCGGCUAACUCCGUGCCAGCAGCCGCGGUAAUACGGAGGGAGCUAGCGUUGUUCGGAAUUACUGGGCGUAAAGCGCACGUAGGCGGUUAUUCAAGUCAGAGGUGAAAGCCCGGGGCUCAACCCCGGAACUGCCUUUGAAACUAGAUGACUGGAAUCUUGGAGAGGUCUGUGGAAUUCCGAGUGUAGAGGUGAAAUUCGUAGAUAUUCGGAAGAACACCAGUGGCGAAGGCGACUGACUGGACAAGUAUUGACGCUGAGGUGCGAAAGCGGGGGGAGCAAACAGGAUUAGAUACCCUGGUAGUCCACGCCGUAAACGAUGAUAACUAGCUGUCCGGAC